rnacentral:rRNA from 1 species
CCUACGGGAGGCAGCAGUGAGGAAUAUUGGUCAAUGGGCGCGAGCCUGAACCAGCCAAGUCGCGUGAGGGAAGAAUGUCCUAUGGAUUGUAAACCUCUUUUGUCAGGGAGCAAAGUCACCCACGUGUGGGUGUUGGAGAGUACCUGAAGAAAAAGCAUCGGCUAACUCCGUGCCAGCAGCCGCGGUAAU